rnacentral:lncRNA from 1 species
UCAUAAUAUAAUGUUUAAACAGUUCUUUUGGCAAUUUUCCUAAAGAAGUAAACUAGGAAAUCCAUUUUAAAAGGGAGAGUUAAUAUUUCUAUUCAAAUCUAUAACAAACCGAAUCCUUUAUUCAAUUAUGUUUUAGUGCUUAACUAAACAUAAAUAAAGUGAGUAAAUGUAAUGAUCGCGAGGUGAGAGCAGUCCCUUUGGGGACAUCCGAUAUAAAAAAAGUUGAGACAGAGUACAUAGUUUUGGUUGAUUACAGGUAUCAAAGUAAACGACUUGCACCAUAAUAGGUUUGAGACGUUUUUGAGAGUUUGGUCAAAAUAGUUUUUGAGAAAAUAUCUUUAUUAUGAAAUAAUGAGCUUCCUGAAAAAGUAGUUGACUCAAUAUUAGAGUAGGGUAGGAAAAAUAAAUGAAUAGCCUACAAAUGCUCCUUCGGCAGUUAAAAUAGGUGCUGUUAUGCAAAUCUUUAAUUAUUACCGAAUAAUUGUACGUUUUCCUUCAGUUUUUACGCGAAUUUGAUAAUUCAAUUGAGCCUGAGGGGUAUAAAUGUGAUUUUGGCCAAAUAUGGCCGCAACUAAAGGAAUUUUAAUUCGGACGAAAUGGAAACAAGAAAUCUCGUUAAAAUUAUGAAAAAGGGUUAACAAUACCCCUCUACUAUUCAAAAAGGAUCAUUAGUCUUUCGUUAUACUAUUGAUCCAUUAUACUCUCUAACGUUAUAAAACCGGUACAAAAAUACCCAUUAGCCGUUAAGGCCCUCCACCAUGGCAACAUUAUCCCAUGUGGCUUGGCAUAUUAUUGACGUGGAUUCCACGUGGCAUGCCACCUCAUUGUCCCAAACCUCAUUUUACCCCACGCCCGCCCGUUCUUCCUCUAACACCACUACAAUUUCACUGCCACCACUUUGAACUCACCUCCACAAUCUCCAUUUGCCACCUCAAUAAUAUCAAUUCAACCAAAAAUAGUGUUAAGAAGAUGAAGUUCAAUGUCCGUAGGCAGAGGCGGAUCCAGAAUUUGAUGGUUCCGGGUGUCACUGUCUUUAAUGUAAACUUACCUCUAGUCAAAGUGGUCGAAUUAGGGUGUACAUUUGGCUAGUUCGCUCAGUUUUGAAUAAACUUGUUCGGUUCGGUUCGGUUCGUUCAAUUUUUCAAUUAAUUCGAUUCACUUCAUAAGAUAUUUGGUGCAUAAAUACACAUGUGAUAACAAAACUAAAAAUAUUUGGUCCUUGAAGGAAAAAAUAACAUUUGCCCGAUCAAAAGAAAAAUGAUUAAAACAUAUUGAAAUAUCAAAAUUCGAGAUUUAGAAAAGGAAAAUAAAAAUAAAUAUACUUUUAUAAUUUAAAUAACUAAUAAAGAAGGAAAUGUAUAAAGAGAGAAUACAAAGAUGAAAAUAAGAAACUAAGAGGAAAGAGAAGAAAAGAAAAUUAUGGAAAAAGAGGGAACAAGGAAAAGCAAAAUAAGUUUUGUUAAAAAAUGAGUGAGAGGAGAUUCAACUCUAGGUCUAAGGCCUAAGAAGAAGCACUUGGACUGUGGCACCUAUCAUAACAUUGUUCAUUAGGGUGCUACAAAAUUAUUUUGUACUUUUUUUACAUGAAAUAUCAGUGGAAUACCAGUACUAAUAUGAAAUUCUAUCGGAGCGAUCGGGUGACGUACCACAUCCUUCCCUCUACAUAGAUCCGCCCUUCCUGUAGGAGUUGGAGGCAUGAGGUUUAACAAUUACAGGGAACAGAAGCUAAAGCCACCUUCAACCCUAACUAAACAACAAAAUGGUUUAUUAAACUUGAAAACUGGAAGACACCCGGAACAAUUUCUAUGGAAUCUUGUAAAAAUAAUGCAUUUUUGGUUUCAUAAAUAAACUAUCGUGGACUUACCCUCAUAUAUUCCUCAGCAGAGACAGGUGCAUGUUGAUUUUCUACUUUAAAGUUUUGGUUCAAGUGUUCAACUUCUUCACCUUGGGGUAUUUUAUGCUUUCCACACAGAUUUGGUGCUUAUUCUUGUGUAUUUAAACUUUCUUCUGAAUUAGGUAUGCUGCAUUAAGAUUGUAAUUUUAUUACUGGGAUAUCUCAUUGACGCUAGACCAUGUACAAACCUGUGGUUGGUUUUGAAUUAUGGUGGUGGUUAGGUGGAGAGGGAGGUGGUGUUAGAGGAAGAAAGGGGAGGGAGGAAAAAAUGAAAUUGAGAUGAUGAGGUGGCAU